rnacentral:rRNA from 1 species
CGGUGGAGCAUGUGGUUUAAUUCGAUGCAACGCGAAGAACCUUACCAGGUCUUGACAUCCAACGAAUCCUUCUGAAAGGAAGGAGUGCCUUCGGGAGCGUUGAGACAGGUGGUGCAUGGUUGUCGUCAGCUCGUGUCGUGAGAUGUUGGGUUAAGUCCCGCAACGAGCGCAACCCUUGCUAUUAGUUGCUAACAGGUUAAGCUGAGCACUCUAAUGGGACUGCCGGUGACAAGCCGGAGGAAGGUGGGGAUGACGUCAAAUCAUCAUGCCCUUUAUGACCUGGGCUACACACGUGCUACAAUGGAUGGUACAGAGAGCAGCGAGGCAGCGAUGUGGAGCGAAUCUCAAAAAGCCAUUCUCAGUUCGGAUUGGAGUCUGCAACUCGACUCCAUGAAGUCGGAAUCGCUAGUAAUCGCGAAUCAGCAUGUCCGCGGUCGAAUACGUUCCCGGGCCUU